AGAGUUUGAUUCUGGCUCAGAACGAACGCUGGCGGCGUGGAUAAGACAUGCAAGUCGAACGAGAGAAUUGCUAGCUUGCUAAUAAUUCUCUAGUGGCGCACGGGUGAGUAACACGUGAGUAACCUGCCCCCGAGAGCGGGAUAGCCCUGGGAAACUGGGAUUAAUACCGCAUAGUAUCGAAAGAUUAAAGCAGCAAUGCGCUUGGGGAUGGGCUCGCGGCCUAUUAGUUAGUUGGUGAGGUAACGGCUCACCAAGGCGAUGACGGGUAGCCGGUCUGAGAGGAUGUCCGGCCACACUGGAACUGAGACACGGUCCAGACACCUACGGGUGGCAGCAGUCGAGAAUCAUUCACAAUGGGGGAAACCCUGAUGGUGCGACGCCGCGUGGGGGAAUGAAGGUCUUCGGAUUGUAAACCCCUGUCAUGUGGGAGCAAAUUAAAAAGAUAGUACCACAAGAGGAAGAGACGGCUAACUCUGUGCCAGCAGCCGCGGUAAUACAGAGGUCUCAAGCGUUGUUCGGAAUCACUGGGCGUAAAGCGUGCGUAGGCUGUUUCGUAAGUCGUGUGUGAAAGGCGCGGGCUCAACCCGCGGACGGCACAUGAUACUGCGAGACUAGAGUAAUGGAGGGGGAACCGGAAUUCUCGGUGUAGCAGUGAAAUGCGUAGAUAUCGAGAGGAACACUCGUGGCGAAGGCGGGUUCCUGGACAUUAACUGACGCUGAGGCACGAAGGCCAGGGGAGCGAAAGGGAUUAGAUACCCCUGUAGUCCUGGCAGUAAACGGUGCACGCUUGGUGUGCGGGGAAUCGACCCCCUGCGUGCCGGAGCUAACGCGUUAAGCGUGCCGCCUGGGGAGUACGGUCGCAAGAUUAAAACUCAAAGAAAUUGACGGGGACCCGCACAAGCGGUGGGGUAUGUGGCUUAAUUCGAUGCAACGCGAAGAACCUUACCUGGGCUUGACAUGUAAUGAACAACAUGUGAAAGCAUGCGACUCUUCGGAGGCGUUACACAGGUGCUGCAUGGCCGUCGUCAGCUCGUGUCGUGAGAUGUUUGGUUAAGUCCAGCAACGAGCGCAACCCCUGUUGCCAGUUACCAGCACGUGAAGGUGGGGACUCUGGCGAGACUGCCCAGAUCAACUGGGAGGAAGGUGGGGACGACGUCAGGUCAGUAUGGCCCUUAUGCCCAGGGCUGCACACGUACUACAAUGCCCAGUACAGAGGGGGCCGAAGCCGCGAGGCGGAGGAAAUCCUAAAAACUGGGCCCAGUUCGGACUGUAGGCUGCAACCCGCCUACACGAAGCCGGAAUCGCUAGUAAUGGCGCAUCAGCUACGGCGCCGUGAAUACGUUCCCGGGUCUUGUACACACCGCCCGUCACAUCAUGGAAGCCGGUCGCACCCGAAGUAUCUGAAGCCAACCGCAAGGAGGCAGGGUCCUAAGGUGAGACUGGUAACUGGGAUGAAGUCGUAACAAGGUAGCCGUAGGGGAACCUGCGGCU
rnacentral:rRNA from 1 species